rnacentral:rRNA from 1 species
UGGGGAAUAUUGGACAAUGGGCGAAAGCCUGAUCCAGCCAUGCCGCGUGUGUGAAGAAGGUCUUCGGAUUGUAAAGCACUUUAAGUUGGGAGGAAGGGCAGUAAGUUAAUACCUUGCUGUUUUGACGUUACCGACAGAAUAAGCACCGGCUAACUUCGUGCCAGCAGCCGCGGUAAUACGAAGGGUGCAAGCGUUAAUCGGAAUUACUGGGCGUAAAGCGCGCGUAGGUGGUUCGUUAAGUUGGAUGUGAAAGCCCCGGGCUCAACCUGGGAACUGCAUCCAAAACUGGCGAGCUAGAGUAUGGCAGAGGGUGGUGGAAUUUCCUGUGUAGCGGUGAAAUGCGUAGAUAUUACUUAGAACACCAAUUGCGAAGGCAGGUUACCAA